rnacentral:rRNA from 1 species
AUUGAACGCUGGCGGCAGGCCUAACACAUGCAAGUCGAACGAGUGGCGGACGGGUGAGUAAUGUCUGGGAAACUGCCUGCUGGAUGGGGAUAACUACUGGAAACGGUAGCUAAUACCGCAUACCAUCAGAUGUUCCCAGAUGGUCUUAGCUUGUUGGUGGGGUAACGGCUAACCAAGGCGACGUUCCCUCGCUGGUCUGAGAGGAGUACCAGCCACACUGGAACUGAGACACGGUCCAGACUCCGACGUGAGGGAGCAGUGGGGACUAUUGCACAAUGGGCGCAAGCCUGAUGCAGCCAUGCCGCGUGUAGGAAGAAGGCCUUCGGGUUGUAAAGUACUUUCAGCGGGGAGGCGUUACCCGCAGAAGAAGCACCGGCUAACUCCGUGCCAGCAGCCGCGGUAAUAC